rnacentral:rRNA from 1 species
CCUACGGGUGGCUGCAGUGGGGAAUUUUGGACAAUGGGCGAAAGCCUGAUCCAGCCAUGCCGCGUGAGUGAAGAAGGCCUUCGGGUUGUAAAGCUCUUUCGGCCGGGAAGAAAUCGCACAGGCUAAUACCUUGUGUGGAUGACGGUACCGGAAUAAGAAGCACCGGCUAACUACGUGCCAGCAGCCGCGGUAAUACGUAGGGUGCGAGCGUUAAUCGGAAUUACUGGGCGUAAAGCGUGCGCAGGCGGUUUGGUAAGACAGGCGUGAAAUCCCCG